GAUCCUGGCUCAGGAUGAACGCUAGCGGCAGGCUUAACACAUGCAAGUCGAGGGGUAUAGUUCUUCGGAAUUAGAGACCGGCGCACGGGUGCGUAACGCGUAUGCAAUCUACCUUUCACAAAGGGAUAGCCCAGAGAAAUUUGGAUUAAUACCUUAUAGUAAUACGACUUGGCAUCAAGAUGUAUUUAAAGAUUUAUCGGUGAAAGAUGAGCAUGCGUCCCAUUAGCUAGAUGGUAAGGUAACGGCUUACCAUGGCUACGAUGGGUAGGGGUCCUGAGAGGGAGAUCCCCCACACUGGUACUGAGACACGGACCAGACUCCUACGGGAGGCAGCAGUGAGGAAUAUUGGUCAAUGGACGCAAGUCUGAACCAGCCAUGCCGCGUGCAGGAUGACGGUCCUAUGGAUUGUAAACUGCUUUUGUACAGGAAGAAACACUACUUCGUGAAGUAGCUUGACGGUACUGUAAGAAUAAGGAUCGGCUAACUCCGUG
rnacentral:rRNA from 1 species